CAGGAAUGCUUUGUUAGAGCGGGGGUUGGGUUCAGGAGAGAAACAGUGGCAAACAGAGUGAGCAGCUUCGAAGAAGGCAUUUUCCACCCUGUGUUUUCCAAACCACCCCAUGGGGUUCUUACUGAAGUCCGGAGGUCCAUAGCACUAGUCCAUUCCUUCCACUGCCAAGACCUUAGACUCACAGACAUCAGUGAGAACUGGAACCCUGUGGGUAUUUCUACAACUCACAGAUUAUUAACAAUAAUGAAUGACAGGAUUCCAUCCAUCUCCUCCUUCCCUGUGCCCCAACUCUGC
rnacentral:lncRNA from 1 species